GAUGAACGCUGGCGGCGUGCUUAAUACAUGCAAGUCGAGCGAACGGACGAGAAGCUUGCUUCUCUGAUGUUAGCGGCGGACGGGUGAGUAACACGUGGAUAACCUACCUAUAAGACUGGGAUACCUUCGGGAAACCGUAGCUAAUACCGGAUAAUAUUUUGAACCGCAUGGUUCAAAAGUGAAAGACGGUCUUGCUGUCACUUAUAGAUGGAUCCGCGCUGCAUUAGCUAGUUGGUAAGGUAACGGCUUACCAAGGCAACGAUGCAUAGCCGACCUGAGAGGGGGAUCGGCCACACGAGAACUGAGACACGGACCAGACUCCUACGAGAGGCAGCAGUAGGGAAUCUUCCGCAGUGGGCGAAAGCCUGACGGAGCAACGCCGCGUGAGUGAUGAAGGUCUUCGGAGCGUAAAACUCUGUUAUUAGGGAAGAACAUAUGUGUAAGUAACUGUGCACAUCGUGACGGUACCUAAUCAGAAAGCCACGGCUAACUACGUG
rnacentral:rRNA from 1 species